UACGGGGGGGGCAAGCGUUGUUCGGAAUUACUGGGCGUAAAGGGCUCGUAGGCGGUCAACUAAGUCAAACGUGAAAUCCCUCGGCUUAACCGGGGAACUGCGUCUGAUACUGGAUGGCUUGAGUUUGGGAGAGGGAUGCGGAAUUCCAGGUGUAGCGGUGAAAUGCGUAGAUAUCUGGAGGAACACCGGUGGCGAAGGCGGCAUCCUGGACCGACAUUGACGCUGAGGCGCGAAAGCCAGGGGAGCAAACGGG
rnacentral:rRNA from 1 species